CUACGGGUGGCAGCAGUGGGGAAUCUUGCACAAUGGAGGAAACUCUGAUGCAGCGAUGCCGCGUGAGUGAAGAAGGCCCUUGGGUUGUAAAGCUCUUUUGUCGGGAAAGAUAAUGACUGUACCCGAAGAAUAAGGUCCGGCUAACUUCGUGCCAGCAGCCGCGGUAAUACGAAGGGACCUAGCGUAAUUCGGAAUUACUGGGCGGAAAGCGCGCGUAGGCGGUUAAGUAAGUUAAUUGUGAAAGCCCAAAGCUCAACUUUGGAAUUGCAAUUAAAACUACUUAGCUAGAGUUUAUCAGAGGAAAGCGGAAUACAUAGUGUAGAGGUGAAAUUCGUAGAUAUUAUGUAGAACACCAGUUGCGAAGGCGGCUUUCUGGGAUAACACUGACGCUGAGGUGCGAAAGUAUGGGUAGCGAAGAGGAUUAGAUACCCGCGUAGUC
rnacentral:rRNA from 1 species